rnacentral:rRNA from 1 species
GUAACAGCGCAGGGGGUGCCUAAUACUUGCAUUCGAGCGGACAGAUGGGGCUUGCUCCCUGAUGUUAGCGGCGGACGGGUGAGUAACACGUGGGUAACCUGCCUGUAAGACUGGGAUAACUCCGGGAAACCGGGGCUAAUACCGGAUGGUUGUUUGAACCGCAUGGUUCAGACAUAAAAGGUGGCUUGGCUACCACUUACAGAUGGACCCGCGGCGCAUAGCUAGUUGGUGAGGUAACGGCUCACCAAGGCAACGAUGCGUAGCCGACCUGAGAGGGUGAUCGGCCACACUGGGACUGAGACACGGCCCAGACUCCUACGGGAGGCACAGUAGGGAAUCUUCCGCAAUGGACGAAAGUCUGACGGAGCAACGCCGCGUGAGUGAUGAAGGUUUUCGGAUCGUAAAGCUCUGUUGUUAGGGAAGAACAUGCCGUUCAAAUAGGGCGGCACCUUGACGGUACCUAACCAGAA